CACCUGGCUCUCUCAGAUCUGCUCGGGUCAGCUCCUUAGUUCCUGUGGACUGCCUCCUUGAGAGCUGCCAGUCAUGGAGCUGUAGACCCUCUCCCCAAAAGAUAAAGAACUUGAGGCUCAGGAAGAGUGACUACCCAAGAUCACAGAAUUCAUAUAAACAGAAGAGAAAAUUCAAACUCAAGCAUCCUGACUCUUAGCCCAGUGCUUGCUCAGGAGCCUAGGAAGGGGCUGCCUCUCUGAGCCUGUGAUGGAGUUCCACAGAGAGAACCAGGAGCUCUGGCCUCCCUAGGCACACCUGGACAACAAACGCUUUCUCCAGGAUCCCUCUCCG